AAAGUCGUAACAAGGUUUCCGUAGGUGAACCUGCGGAAGGAUCAUUAUUGAUUUGGGUUUCGCACACACCAGUGCUUCUCCCUUGCUGUACCUGCGACCACUGGCCGCCUCUGCAUUUUGAUGUGAAAGUAUAGCAAUAUACGCGCACAAAGUUCGGACGUAUGCGGUGGUUGUGGUGUAUACCGCAAAAAAAUACUCUUGUGAACUUGUACCACCCAAUUUUUAUUUAUAAUGAAAGCCUUAUGUUAUUUUUGUGUCCCCUCACAGGGCCAAUUAUUUAUUAAUUAUACAUAACUUUUAACAACGGAUCUCUUGGCUCUC
rnacentral:misc_RNA from 1 species